rnacentral:rRNA from 1 species
UACGGAGGGGACUAGCGUUGUUCGGAAUUACUGGGCGUAAAGCGCACGUAGGCGGAUUUGUAAGUCAGGGGUGAAAUCCCGGGGCUCAACCUCGGAACUGCCUUUGAUACUGCAAAUCUCGAGUCCGGAAGAGGUGAGUGGAAUUCCUAGUGUAGAGGUGAAAUUCGUAGAUAUUAGGAAGAACACCAGUGGCGAAGGCGGCUCACUGGUCCGGUACUGACGCUGAGGUGCGAAAGCUAGGGGAGCAAACAGG